ensembl:snoRNA
GCAAUGAUGAUCAUUAAUGGUUUUGAUCAGCAGUGAAAAAAUCUUACCAAUUCCUCUAAGAAGUUCUGAGCUC